GUUAUCAUAGAACCUUUCAUUUUACUAUGUCAAUUAUUAUAGUUAUAUGUAAUGCCAUAGGUCUUAACCAUUUAUUGUUAAUGAGUUUGUGCCAAUAAAAAUAUUUGUAUUUGUAUUUAUCAUUAUAAAAGUUACAAUUUUGUCAUUUAAAGAUUAAAUAUUUAUUUUAGAUCAAUUUUGCACAUCUUAGAGAGAAAUUAAAACAAAUGGAAUGUAGCAAAGUGAUGAGUGCUGAAUAUGAAAAUUGUUUGAACAGCACACUUCCUUUUAACAUGAUGGAGUUGCAAAAUUUACCAUGGUUCUAUGGUCAACUAAAGGAGACUAAUUUCAUUUAUCAAAGGACAGGAGACUUUCCAUGCCUCAAGACUUUAAAAGCUGAAAUUGGAAAUAAGAUGCAGAGAACCAUUCAUAAAGUGUAUACAUGAAACUGAUAUUUACAAUGUUCUUUAGAGCUAUAACUCUAGCCCUUAAGAUUACAUUACACUACUAUUGCUUGCUAAUUCUACUAUCAACAGUAAAAGAGAGAAGAUUCAGGACUAAGAGUGAUUUUUGCAGUUUGCUGUGGAUGAAAUUUGGAUGUAUUGAUGAAAUUAAUACAACAAUAGCAGUUAAUUCUUUGAACAAGA